rnacentral:rRNA from 1 species
GACGAACGCUGGCGGCGUGCCUAAUACAUGCAAGUAGAACGCUGAAGGAGGAGCUUGCUUCUCUGGAUGAGUUGCGAACGGGUGAGUAACGCGUAGGUAACCUGCCUGGUAGCGGGGGAUAACUAUUGGAAACGAUAGCUAAUACCGCAUAAUAGUAGAUGUCGCAUGACAUUUGCUUAAAAGGUGCAAUUGCAUCACUACCAGAUGGACCUGCGUUGUAUUAGCUAGUUGGUGAGGUAACGGCUCACCAAGGCAACGAUACAUAGCCGACCUGAGGGGGUGAUCGGCCACACUGGGACUGAGACACGGCCCAGACUCCUACGGGAGGCAGCAGUAGGGAGUCUUCGGCAAUGGACGGAAGUCUGACCGAGCAACGCCGCGUGAGUGAAGAAGGUUUUCGGAUCGUAAAGCUCUGUUGUAAGAGAAGAACGAGUGUGAGAGUGGAAAGUUCACACUGUGACGGUAUCUUACCAGAAAGGGACGGCUAACUACGUG